rnacentral:rRNA from 1 species
CCUACGGGAGGCAGCAGUGGGGAAUAUUGCGCAAUGGGCGAAAGCCUGACGCAGCGACGCCGCGUGCGGGAUGAAGGUCUUCGGAUCGUAAACCUCUGUUAGCAGGGAAGAACGGUCACUGUGCUAAUCAGCAGUGAAUUGACGGUACCUGUAAAGGAAGCACUGGCUCACUCCGUGCCAGCCGCCGCGGUAAUACGGCGGGGGCGAGCGUUAAUCGGAAUUACUGGGCGUAAAGCGCUCGUAGGCGGUAUGUCAAGUCAAGGGUGAAAUCCCCGCGCUCAACGUGGGAACUGCCUUUGAUACUGGCAAACUGGAGUGUGUUAGAGGAUAGUGGAAUGCCAGGUGUAGGAGUGAAAUCCGUAGAUAUCUGGAGGAACAUCAGUGGCGAAGGCGACUAUCUGGCACAUAACUGACGCUGAGGAGCGAAAGCGUGGGUAGCAAACAGGAUUAGAUACCCCGGUAGUC